GAUGAACGCUGGCGGCGUGCCUAAUACAUGCAAGUCGAGCGAACGGACGAGAAGCUUGCUUCUCUGAUGUUAGCGGCGGACGGGUGAGUAACACGUGGAUAACCUAUCUAUAAGACUGGGAUAACUUCGGGAAACCGGAGCUAAUACCGGAUAAUAUUUUGAACCGCAUGGUUCAAAAGUGUAAGACGGUCUUGCUGUCACUUAUAGAUGGAUCCGCGCUGCGUUAGCUAGUUGGUAAGGUAACGGCUUACCAAGGCGACGAUGCAUAGCCGACCUGAGAGGGUGAUCGGCCACACUGGAACUGAGACACGGUCCAGACUCCUACGGGAGGCAGCAGUAGGGAAUCUUCCGCAAUGGGCGAAAGCCUGACGGAGCAACGCCGCGUGAGUGAUGAAGGUCUUCGGAUCGUAAAACUCUGUUAUUAGGGAAGAACAUAUGUGUAAGUAACUGUGCACAUCUUGACGGUACCUAAUCAGAAAGCCACGGCUAACUACGUG
rnacentral:rRNA from 1 species